rnacentral:rRNA from 1 species
CGCUGGCGGCGUGCUUAACACAUGCAAGUCGAACGGUGAGGGAAGCUUGCUUCCCGGAUCAGUGGCGAACGGGUGAGUAACACGUGGGCAAUCUGCCCCAGACUUUGGGAUAACUACUCGAAAGAGUAGCUAAUACCGAAUAUUCAGCCUUGCAGGCAUCUGCGAGGCUGGAAAGUUUCUCGGUCUGGGAUGAGCCCGCGGCCUAUCAGCUAGUUGGUGAGGUAAUGGCUCACCAAGGCGACGACGGGUAGCCGGCCUGAGAGGGCGACCGGCCACACUGGGACUGAGACACGGCCCAGACUCCUACGGGAGGCAGCAGUGGGGAAUAUUGCGCAAUGGGCGAAAGCCUGACGCAGCAACGCCGCGUGCGGGAUGAAGGCCUUCGGGUUGUAAACCGCUUUCAGCAGGGAAGAAGCGAAAGUGACGGUACCUGCAGAAGAAGCACCGGCUAACUACGUG